GAUGAACGCUGGCGGCGUGCCUAAUACAUGCAAGUCGAGCGGACGGACGAGGAGCUUGCGUCGCUGAUGUUAGCGGCGGACGGGUGUGUCACGCGUGGAUCACCUACCUAUAAGACUGGGAUAAUUUGGGGAAACCGGAGCUAAUAGCGGAUAAUAUUUUGAACCGCAUGGUUCAAAAGUGAAAGACGGUCUUGCUGGCACGUAUAGAUGGAUCCGCGCUGCAUUAGCUAGUUGGUAAGGUAACGGCUUACCAAGGCGACGAUGCAUAAGCGAGGUGAGAGGGUGAUCGGCCACCCUGGAGCUGAGACACGGUCCAGAGGCCUACGGGAGGCAGCAGUAGGGAAUCUUCGGCAGUGGGCGGGAGCCUGGCGGAGCGGGGCCGCGUGAGUGAUGAAGGUCUUCGGAUCGUAAAACUCUGUUAUUAGUGAAGAACAUAUGUGUAAGGAACUGUGCACAUCUUGACGGUACCUAGUCAGAAAGCCACGGCUAACUACGUG
rnacentral:rRNA from 1 species